AGAUUUAUGGGGAUUUGUCAUUUGGAUUGCCAUUGUUUCCAUCAGCAUGGUUUUUAUCAUCCUUUUCCUGUUUAUACCACCUUGUCACAAUUAUUGUGCUGCUUGCAACGGGAGACACAAGACUUCCAGAAAAUGACAGUCGAUUCUAAAUCCCAGCUUUACUGAAGCAACUGGAGCUCUUAAACUAUCUGUGCCUUCAUA